rnacentral:lncRNA from 1 species
UAUUUUGUUUUAUUUCUCCUAGGGUCAGAUACUUUUUAAAAAAUAAAUCCUAAAUAAAUUUAGAUUCUGAACACUAAAUAUUCCUCUGUAAAGAUCCUGAAUGCUAUUAUGUUUCUCCAAAGAGCAUUUUAUUUUUGUAGAAGAUGAUUACACUGUUUGAUUUCAAGCACAAACUGUGAUCUGGGUAGCUGUUGAAGUCUCACUUUUAUAUAUUUAGGCUUGCCUAGUCUACAUGAAUUCUGCCUUGUAAAUACAUAGUUCAGAGGCCAACACUGUUAAGUAUAAAAUUCAUAUACAGUAUAAAAUUCAAUAACUCUUCAUUUGGUCCUCUCAUUUCUGUGGUUUAUUUCUCUGGAUUUCAAGUCCUGUGAUUAUUCCAAACUCAGCCUUUUGGUUCUUCAAGCCAGAUACUCUGCAAGUUUUCUAUCAAAACUGUAAUUACUUAACAUGACAGACUGAGCCUAAGUCGUGCCAAUAAUAAAUCCAUCCAGGAUCAUUUUCUAUUUUUUUUUAAAUUGUGACCUUCUCUGUUAGGGUCUAGAAUUUUAUUUACUCUAGUGAUGGGCCAGUAAAUUAGAUUUAUCAAUACUUCAUGAGUCAGAAACAAAGAUUUUAUUACUCAAGAGGAUGAAAAUGCUGGCAUUGAUUUUUCCUUAUCGCCUGGGAGUCCCACAUGGAUGACCCUUGCUUGGCCCUGAUAGAUGGCCCUAGUACGAUGCACUACAAGAAACAACACCAGAAUUGAAGAAUCUGCCACUUUUAGUAGAAAUUUGGUACCCUGCUGUGUGUCCCAGAAGAGGGCUUGACAAGAUUUCAACCGCAAACUCAACUGUCAGUAGUGUUUCUAGGAGUGGGUAGGUAGGGGAGGGUAUAGCAUUUGAAAUGUAAAUGAAGAAAAUAUUUAAUAAAAAAUUGAAAAAAAAAAAAAAGAACACAUAGGGCCUUACAUCCUUGACAUACCCAGUAGGAAAACGUAGGCACACUCACAGGCUAGAGGAGAGAAAGUCUCUCUGACAAUCUUCAGAGAUCCACCCUUCACUGCCUUCAGGGAGUGCUUAUUCCUGUUGUCUUUGUCACAUUCUUUUUGGCAUUUUGUCAUGAGCUAUCUUGGCCAUUAUGGGGAUUGAGACUGACCACUUUGCCACUGUCAAUCACACUGUGAGCAGUCAUGAGAUCGUCAGGUUGGGAACAGACUCACCAAGCACUGAGCAACCUAGGGAACAUGUGGCCUUCUGUUCAACCUCAGCUCACCAUGUGUGCCUUGUUUGGACAACAUCAUGUUGGAAGGUGAACAAGGCCAGAUGUAGGAUAGGAACACAAGGUUCACAGACAUGGGCUUCUGACCAUCUUCUUGCUCAAACAGUGAAUGAGAAGACCUAACACACACUCAAUAGAUUCUGACUUUCCUGAACUUGGUUCCUAAGAAGGAAAUUGCAAGGCAAUAAGGUUCUCAUAAAUUGUAAACUUUAUUAGUAAAAAGUCUCUUACUCUGGUAGCGACUUCUCUCAAUGAGCAAAUCUAUCAGCAGUGCCACAUUUGAAGUACCACAAGAGAAGAACAUGAAGAACUAAAAGUCAAGCAUACAGACCAUGCUUACUGACACCAGCCAUUUUUUUGCCAUUGGUAAUCUCACACAGGGCAAUCCUCUCUGAAGGGAGAAACUGGAGCUAGCAGAUUUAUUGGCCAGGAGAUAUUUUCCCCUGCAAAAGAUUCAGAAGAACCUGGUACCCACUGAAGUAGUCCAUCUGCAAGUAUCUGGCUCUAUCCUGCUCCUUCUCCCUCAGGAAGGGCAGUGACUCACAAAAUACAAAUCUCAUUAUAUCACUGGACUGCUCAGACCUCAAACAACUUUACACCACAAUGUGAAGAAUGCCCAAAACUCUAUCAAAGAUGCACUCUGACAAGUUCUCUAACCCAAAUUCUUAUUGCCAUUGUCUACAUUCACCACACAACUCAUGACUCAGCAUUCUGCAAGCAUUCUCUUGCCUUCGGCCUUUUCAUACUACCUCAGCAGUUUGCAUGACUCCUUUCCUCACUCCAGUCUCAUGCUCAAAUAUGACUUUCCUCUAUUUAGGAAGACAAAUAUGGAAAAUGAGAAAUAUAGGGGAGGGAAGAAGCUAAAGAAAAACAUAAGCAAAAUGUAAUGCUAUAUAAUGCAUGAAAAUGUCAAUGAAACCUGUCAUUUGUCUACUAAUUAAAAAUGUCAAGAAUUAACCACUGUGAUAUUCCAUCCAAUGAGAGCAGUUAAAGCAUUCAUGUGUACAUAAACACGCACACUUCCUCCUUGGAGUCUUAUCAGGACAUACUUUUAAAAAUGGUCAUCACUCUAUCUCCCAUUUAUUUUCUUUAUAUUAAAUAAUUCUUCCUGGUAUAAUUUCCUGUAUGUGUAAAACUAUUUGGGGAUUUUUCAUUUGUUUGCUUUUCUUUUUUUUUUUUUUCACUGAAGGUAAAUUCCUUGAGCGCAUUUGUUGUCAGCUGUUUUAUGUUAUAAACCCCCAGUGUCCUGAGCAGUGUCCAGCAUCGGGGAGAUGCUCAAUAGAUAUGUGUAAAAUACAUGAGUGACUAAAGUGUAUUAUGUUAACAGUGAAGAGCAUUUCUCUUAUUGUGGAUCAUAUAUUAAUGAUGUACAAGACAAUGAAGCUGAAUGUGGUGGCAUAAGCCUAUCAUCCUCAGGAAACGGAGGAGGAGAAGGAUACUCAGAAGUCUGUGGCCAGCCUGGUAUAUAUAAUGAAUUAUGGGGUAGCCUGAGCUACAUGUGAGACCCUACCAACAGAAAGAGACAGAGGAGGGUAGAAAGGGAGAAAGAAAGGAGGAAGACACUGGAAUGGAGAGAGGGGAAGAGAAGG